UACGGUAGGAUGCUAGCGUUGUCCGGAUUUACUGGGCGUAAAGCGCGCGCAGGCGGCACUGUAAGUAAGGUGUGAAAUAUCCCUGCUCAACGGGGAGGGUGCACUUUAGACUGCAGAGCUAGAGGACGGUAGAGGGGGUGGAAUUGCUGGUGUAGCGGUGAAAUGCGUAGAGAUCAGCAGGAACACCCGUGGCGAAGGCGGCCCCCUGGGCCGAACCUGACGCUGAGGCGGCGAAGGCUAGGGGAGCGAACGGG
rnacentral:rRNA from 1 species